rnacentral:rRNA from 1 species
CGGGGUGCACCAGGCGCGAAAACUUUACAAUGCGGGAAACCGUGAUAAGGGGACACCGAGUGCCAGCAUCAUAUGCUGGCUGUCCAGGUGUGUAAAAUACACCUGUUAGCAAGGGCCGGGCAAGACCGGUGCCAGCCGCCGCGGUAACACCGGCGGCCCGAGUGGUGAUCGUGAUUAUUGGGUCUAAAGGGUCCGUAGCCGGUUUGGUCAGUCCUCCGGGAAAUCUGACGGCUUAACCGUUAGGCGUUCGGGGGAUACUGCCAGGCUUGGAACCGGGAGAGGUAAGAGGUACUACAGGGGUAGGAGUGAAAUCUUGUAAUCCCUGUGAGACCACCUGUGGCGAAGGCGUCUUACCAGAACGGGUUCGACGGUGAGGGACGAAAGCUGGGGGCACGAACCGGAUUAGAUACCCGGGUAGUCCCAGCCGUAAACGAUGCUCGCUAGGUGUCAGGCAUGGCGCGACCGUGUCUGGUGCCGCAGGGAAGCCGUGAAGCGAGCCACCUGGGAAGUACGGCCGCAAGGCUGAAACUUAAAGGAAUUGGCGGGGGAGCACAAGGGCGAUUCGCGG